UUUUAUCCUUGUAUGAAAUAAAAAUCUAAAUGAUUGGACAUCUGAAAGUGAGAAGAGUAAGAUUAAAUAACACAAUUUCAUUCGUCACAUUUUUAUCAAAUAAAAACUGCCCAGCCCAAUGUAGUAAGACGAUACUACAUCCACUUUAUAAAGCUGUGUCAUGGCAAGGAACCUAAAGAGUAUUCCCAGGAUUAAAGCAACAUUGGAUUGGUUUCAGGUUACAUACCAGCUUUGUCAAAACACUCUCUAUAAAGCAAUUUGGCUUCCUUUCACUUUAAUGGUUUCAUUGGGGGAUUCAAGUCUCCUUUUGGCUUCGCAUGAACAAGAUAUUUUUUUCUAAGACUAAACGCACAGCUCAAUCCAACCAAAACGUACUCUCUCUCUGUUUGUUCAGUGACUCAUUCCAAACAGGCAGCUUUAGACUGGACUGCCAGAUGGGCAGGGUUCACACUUCUGUGACUUUUCUAUUUGCUCCAUUGCACAAUACACGCUCAAUCAAGCCCAGAUCUUGAUGUGAUGCUGAUGAACAUUAGGUCACAUGUUAAGAGAUUUGCCUAGCUUACUUCACUGUCUGAAGAGCUGCUGUCAGAGGAGGAGGAGGAUGAACUGGAAUCCUGUGUACAAGAGAAACAAAGAAGCUUUUUCUUUUCCUUCAUGGCUUUGUCCUCAUCCUCGCUGUCCGAGAGCUGUCAAAUGAGUACAGGGCAACCUGAAGGAGAGAGAGAGAGACUGUAAUUGUUACAACUGACAGAUGGAUAUGACAGGCCCUCCCACUGAACCUGACCCUCUCCGGCAUACCUUUCCAGGUCCUCCUGGAGGGUCUUUGGGCUCUGUCUUGGCUGCGUUAGUAGUGUCUGUUGCAGACAGCCCUCCUAACCCCCCAUGCUCUGCAAGCACUCAUUCACUCCUCCCAGGCUGGAUCUGAUCCAGUGGGCUCAGGUCCACUCGUCCUCCCUCUCCCCCCGCUCCAUUUUCAGGCCCUGGAACUACACAAGCCAGCACAGAUGAAUACGCAAUUAUAUUUCCCAUUCAACAAAUCAAUGUUUAUUGUAUUGCAUGGGUUACAAUAUUUUGUCAGUUGUCUUAGACUUGUAUCCCAUUGUACCAAUCACCUACAGACUGAGGCUUUUGCAGUGCAAACAAUAUUAAAUACAAUACAAAAAACGAGAACCAGAGUGUCAAAUGCAUAGGCCUACUGUUCACGUGUGAAUGGCGUAGAAGUCUAUUAAUAUUAUGGAUAAAACAUUAUCUAAUGCACUUCCUUAUUUCUCACACUGUACUCCAUCCCAUGUAAUGAUGCAUUCACCUCAGAGUACAUUUGUAGCCAUAACGCACAAAACAAAUUGACUAUCUAUAUAUUGUAUGUUUAUAAGUAGAAUAACUGACAGAUAACGGAAUUAUGCCUGUUGAGUGACAACAACAGCACAGAAUUGCAUGACUUUUACUUCAGGUUUAUUUUGACCACGCCCCUG